CUGAGCUGCUGAUUGGUUGGAGAAAGAGGGAUGCAGACGAUACACUUGCUGGUUAGUUGCGGGCAUACAAUGCCCUAUAGGAGAGGGGUGAGAAGUGGACCGCAUAUCUUUCCUGGUUGGGGGUAGGAAGGAGCAGGCCAGGCCGUUCAAGAUGAGAGGUGGGGCCAGGAUAAGGGUCUGGUCAUUCUGGUCUUGGCCAGAGGCCAACUUCCAUCUCCUUGUAAAGGCCUUGAAGCCCAACACCUCACUUCCUGCCUCUGGCCUCAGUGUUCCCCUCCGAGCGCUGGGGUUGGACUUGAGAUGUUGAUGGGCCUUCCAGCUCUUGCUAGAGUGAAGCCCACCUCUCGCCUUUGAGUCCAGUGCCUGUCACCCACCUGCACCCCUCAGGUGUGGGUGCCCCAACCAGUCCCCAGGCUGCGACCCUGGCAGUCUUUCUAGUCUCUAGCCUGGUGGGACUUGUCACCAACAACGAGAGCGUGUCUUCCUGCCUCACCCUCUCCCUCUCGGUGGGGGCCAGGCAGCAGGGAGCUUGUCCGGGAGUGGGUCCUCCCAGACAAACCAGGCCCGUCAACAAACAGGCGACCAAAACAACAAGAUUACGAAACCCAGAUUCAGGGAAAGAGGCCACUCCAAGCCUCUCUCCAGGACGGGGGGCCGUGAAAUUGGGCCAGGCCUAUGGGUCAGAGCCGGCCUGGCCCGGACUAUUUUUGUACUGUCUCGGGGGUGGGGGCUGAUGAAAUCCCAGCUGUGUUUCACCAAAACACUUUCCCCUUAAGCCCCGGCUCCAUGUGGUGCAAAUUCAUUGUCACUUAACUCAUCACUCAAGGCUCUGAGCCGCACCCCUCCCCCCUCCGGAGAAAGACAAAAACACACAGCCUCUGGCACGCGGGCGAGGUCGGCGUGAGGGGCUGUGACAAGCAGGCUGGCUGUCUUGACCUGAGCUGCCCCCGGCAGCCGGCCCCUGCCUCUUCCCCUUCCUUCCACCUCAGCCUUGGGUUCCUCAAAGGCAGGCUGCUGUGUUGGGGUCACUGACGGCCCCCCACUGGAUACAGGAAGCUGAUGAGCCCCAAAGAAAGAAGCUCCUCUGUGUCAAGAUGGCGGCGGGCAAUUCUGCAUUUUGCAUUUUGGAUGUGCAUCCCAAGUGACACUCUGCGAAUGCUGUUUUGGGAGAAACGUGGUUCUGGACUCGAUAAGCUGGAGAAACACUGAAUUUGACAAGGUCAGCAAGGCUCCUCUCUUGCAGGACUUCUUAGAGCCUUUCAUUGUUAAUAGGCACUUUGAUCUAUUAAGAAGGGGCUCUGGUGUUUUUUUCAUGCUUUUUUAAUACUGGUGCUACUUUUCUUCACGAACUCUUUUCCGGGGACAAGUGGGACAUCGUCUGGGCCCUGCAGGUUUUGAGGACACCUCAGAGAUUCUUGGACUUGAAACGUCAAGUCACCCAGCAGAGGUGGUGACCGUGGGUAAAGAUGCUUCCUUUUUCAUAUCGAGUGGCAGAUCACCUUCUUAACUCUUGAUGAACUUGGCCACGGGAAUCAAGCCAGUGUGGAAAUCUGGCCUCACGAUCUGCCCCCUCUUCCUGGCACGGAGUGGAGAGGAGCUGCUGAAUGGGCAGAACCAGGAGGCUGCCUUGGACUAAGAAGCUUCUGCCUGUGCCACACCAGCCGAGAUUGCCUGAGGAAUUGAGUCAGCGUCUUCCUGGAUGGUGCUGAAAGGCUGGAUUCCUAGAAGACAGGAAUUUAUGGUGUGAGAGCUCCAGCCCCCGCAAACCCACAGCCAAGGUCAACAGCACGAGGCGGGCAGCGCUGCCAAGCAAGGAGGGGAGCCCAGAAAACCAAAGUACAUGCAUUUAAAAAAUUCUCUUCUCUCCCUCACGUUCCCAAAAGGGGGGCUCAAGAAAGGUCUCCCAGCCUGGCCCAGAUGAUCCCCUCACAGAGACAGAACCUGUGAAGCUGCCGGGGAGGGGGUCUCUUGGGCCCUUGGAGGGUUUGAACGUAGCCCCAUUGCUGGGUCCCAAGCAUGGCAGUGACCAUCUGGUCUUAGGGGGUGGUAGCAAGCUACCCUUGGUGCCCUCUCCUGGUCAACCAAGGGCAGCUGAGGUGCCCUAAGCCUUGUCACAGAGGCCCCUGAGGUGGAAGCCUGAUUCACAGUCUCCCCUCUGCCAUCUUGGGUCUUGGGUCUUGACUGCCUGCCCAACAGUAAACACCCAGUGCCUGGGGCCAGGGCUCCCUGUCACAGGCUGUGGCCCUGGACUCUGACAACACAGGACAGGCUUGUUCCAGCCCCCUGUGGUAGCCAAGCGGAGGUGAGGAGAGGCCUGGAGACCACCUUGAUUUGAACCCCAAUGACUUAUGCUGGCAAGGCAGCCCCCCCCCCCCGCAGCCAUGAGCCCCCAAGAGUUUAAAUAUCCAUGUGUCACCCUCACACCUGCCACUCAUGGAGCCCCCUGGCAGGGCCAGGACCUGAGAAAGAAUAGGGUAGCAUCUUGCCCCAGAGUCACACCUCCAAGUGGGGGUGAAGGGAAGGCUGGCAUGGAAAUGGGGGGUGACCAGCACGUGAGGGGCUGUGGGUCCCCCCCCAGGAGCGAAUGACCCAGGGCUGGGAGGAACAACAUCGGUCAGAGAAAUCACGAAGGAGGCGGCCAGAGUUCACCAGGCGGACACAGAAUAGGAAAGGGGCUUAGAGGGAACAUUCCAGCCAAGUCUGCAGCAUGUGCAAAGGCCCAGAAUGUUUAUACCUUGGUAAGACUUUUCAUAUAAA